rnacentral:rRNA from 1 species
GGGGAAUAUUGGACAAUGGGGGAAACCCUGAUCCAGCAAUGCCGCGUGAGUGAUGAAGGCCUUAGGGUUGUAAAGCUCUUUUACCAGGGAUGAUAAUGACAGUACCUGGAGAAUAAGCUCCGGCUAACUCCGUGCCAGCAGCCGCGGUAAUACGGAGGGAGCUAGCGUUGUUCGGAAUUACUGGGCGUAAAGCGCGCGUAGGCGGCUAUUUAAGUCAGGGGUGAAAUCCCGGGGCUCAACCCCGGAACUGCCUUUGAAACUGGGUAGCUAGAAUCCUGGAGAGGCGAGUGGAAUUCCGAGUGUAGAGGUGAAAUUCGUAGAUAUUCGGAAGAACACCAGUGGCGAAGGCGACUCGCUGGACAGGUAUUGACGCUGAGGUGCGAAAGCGUGGGGAGCAAAC